rnacentral:rRNA from 1 species
UACGAAGGGGGCUAGCGUUGCUCGGAAUCACUGGGCGUAAAGCGCACGUAGGCGGACUCUUAAGUCGGUGGUGAAAUCCUGGAGCUCAACUCCAGAACUGCCUUCGAUACUGGGAGUCUCGAGUCCGGGAGAGGUGAGUGGAACUGCGAGUGUAGAGGUGAAAUUCGUAGAUAUUCGCAAGAACACCGGUGGCGAAGGCGCUCAUCUGGCCCGAUACUGACGCUGAGGCGCGAAAGCUAGGGGAGCAAACGGG